GACGAACGCUGGCGGCGUGCUUAACACAUGCAAGUCGAACGAUGAAGCUAGAGCUUGCUCUGGUGAAUUAGUGGCGAACGGGUGAGUAACACGUGAGUAACCUGCCCCGAACUCUGGGAUAACUGCUGGAAACGGUAGCUAAUACUGGAUACAACCUACGAAGGCAUCUUCUGUAGGUGGAAAGAAUUUCGGUUCGGGAUGGACUCGCGGCCUAUCAGCUUGUUGGUGAGGUAAUGGUUCACCAAGGCGACGACGGGUAGCCGGCCUGAGAGGGUGACCGGCCAAACUGGGACUGAGACACGGCCCAGACUCCUACGGGAGGCAGCAGUGGGGAAUAUUGCACAAUGGGCGCAAGCCUGAUGCAGCAACGCCGCGUGAGGGAUGACGGCCUUCGGGUUGUAAACCUCUUUUAGUAGGGAAGAAGCGAAAGUGACGGUACCUGCAGAAAAAGCACCGGCUAACUACGUGCCAGCCGCCGCCGUAA
rnacentral:rRNA from 1 species